GAGAUUUGGAAUCUUUCGCAACAAGUGAUACUCAGUCCUUCUGCAGUUCUGCCAAUUCAUGAGCAAAUAGAAAAUGGGCGAAAUCCAGCAAUACAGUUGUAGUUAUAGACAACGCUAAGGUGUCUGUAGCUGCUCUAGUGUCUUGAAAGAAGCCUCAUUCAAUCCAUUUUCACAACAGAUUGCACCUAAUAAUGACUGCCAAACAUUGAUAUCUGGAGUCAAGGCUAGAGAGAUCAUGUCCUCCAAACACAUAAUUGCACUGUGCAAAUCACCUACUUGGCAGAGACCUCGGAUAAGAGAAUUCAAAGUUCCAACUCUAGGCCAAAAGGAAUUAAUUGACAUUUGCUCCAUCACCUUGCUUGCUUCAACGUAUUUACCAUCUUCACAUAACCCAUCUACCAAAGUUCCAUAAGUUUCAUAGUUUGGCACGCAACCUACUUGCCUAGACAUCCUUUCCAAAUACUUAAUAGCACAAGUAGAUUUUCUUUCAUGGCAUAAGCCUUUUAUAACUACAUUAUACAAUCUAAUAUUCGGAACACAGUUUUUUUGCACCAUCUCACAAUCAAUGACCAUAAUUGC
rnacentral:misc_RNA from 1 species